GCCUCCUAAUGUCUGUGUGUGUCUGGCAUGGCUGUUGGUUGUCAUUGCUUGGCGCGAGGAGAGGCGACAGUGAAAAGAUAAAGAGAGCACACUAACCACGGCCUGAGAGAAAUGUGGUCUGGUGACUAGUGCCGACAGAGAACAAAGCAACGCAAACAUUGUCGCAUGUUUUUACCGGUUUGGAAACCAACCAACAACAAAAUAUUGCCAUAAACAAAAUGGAAGACAAUUGUAAACAAUAAAUGUGUUUAAUACAAAAUAUAUGUUCACAUAGUUGGCCAAAAAUAUUAUUUGUUGAUCUGAACCCCUGGGCACAGGUGCAAAUUCCCUCGUGAUUACAAUGGCCGUAAAGACAACGCCUGAAAUAGAGAUGAUGGAAACGUUGCAAUGACUGUUG